AGAAUAAGAAGAAGAAGACGAAGAAGAAGAAGAUGAUGAGAAGAAAAGAGGAAGAAGAAGAAGAAGAAGAAGAACAAGAACAUGAAGAAGAAGAAAGGAGGAGAAGAGGAGAAGAAGAGGAAAAUAGUAGAAGAGGAAGAGGAGAAGAAAAUAAUAAUAAUAAUAAUAAUAAUAAUAAUAAUAAUAAUAAUAAUAAUAAUAAUAAUAAU
rnacentral:lncRNA from 1 species